UACGUAGGGUGCAAGCGUUGUCCGGAAUCAUUGGGCGUAAAGCGCGCGUAGGUGGCUUCUUAAGUCCGUUGUGAAAGUCAAAGGCUCAACCUUUGAAUGCCGAUGGAUACUGCGAAGCUAGAGUACGGAAGAGGCGAGUGGAAUUCCUGGUGUAGCGGUGGAAUGCGCAGAUAUCAGGAGGAACACCAAUAGCGAAGGCAGCUCGCUGGGACGUUACUGACACUAAGGCGCGAAAGCGUGGGGAGCAAACAGG
rnacentral:rRNA from 1 species